ensembl:lncRNA
CAGGCUGGUGAAUCUUUACUGGUGUGUGAGCAAUAUUUUCUCUGCAUACUCUUAGCCCCUUACUACCAGCUGAGUGUUGUUUAAACUCCACAGCCUACCUGAGUAUUUUUGCUUUAUUGUUCCUUUAUGACCACGGUGUACACAUCUUCUGAUGGCUGCUUGUAGCAGGAUAACAGACCAUAUCAGAGAGCUCAGAUUAUCUCAAUCUGGUUUAUUAAACAUAACAAUGAGUGUGCUGUACUCAUAUGGUCUCCACAGUCACCAGAUCUCACUCCAAUGGAGCAUCUUUGGGAUGUGAUGGAAUGGGAGAUUCACAUCAUGGAUGUGCAGCCCACAAAUCUGCAGCAACUGUGCGAUGCUGUCAUGUCAAUAUGGACCAAAAUCUCUGGUGAAUGUUUCCAGCAGCUUGUUGAAGUCAAAAGAGGGUCCAACCCAGUACUAGUAAGGUGUACUUAAUAAAGUGUCCAGUGGGUGUAUAUCUGUUCAGUGCAUAACCCACAAUAAUAUAUAAACCCCUCCAGUAAAGCAGUCAAAGUCAAAGCUUGUGUAACCCAACAGUAACUUAGCUAAUCAGAGUUUGUUUAGGUCAGUGGACGCCACCAUCUGAUUAAAAGUUACUCAGUCAAAAAAUGACUUCUUAACCUGCGUUACAUCACUGAGCUCGUGUGUUUAUUGGUGAAAUGCAAACAAAGAAAAACAAACAGAAAAGAGGCGGUGGGUACCUUUGGUUUAGCAGAGGAUCAUUAUGUUUCAUGGUGAUUUAAAGCUUUAUUGGCUUAGAAUUCAAUACAACAAAUGGCAGUGUGGGGUUUUUUCUUCUUUUCUUUUUUUAUAUAAAACAGUAUUUUCAAACACAUUAGGGGUUUUAGCUAUUUGUCACUUUGCUUUUGAUAUGGCAUUAAAAUAUAAUACGAUUUGUACUUCCAAUCCAUGUAAAGGGAGAGUGUCUGGCCGUGUUUAUGAGAGCCUGAGAAGAGAGACAUUUUUUGUCAGGGUCAAACGGAUGUUCAGUGCGUAGCCAUGGGAAGGAAACUAGUGAUAUGCGGGUGCUUGGAUGAUGCAACAGCUGUUGGGAUAAAGAUUUCCCACUGCAGAGACCCAGAGCUGACAGUGUGCCGGGGAUUCAUCUUUGACAAGUUAAACAUAAAAAUCCACAUAAGUAAGAAGACAAAGAAGGUUACGAGAGGAUGCCGAAUGGUCUGAGAAAGGAAGUGACUCAAAUCAUUUCUUAUGUCCUCCACGGUCAC